UUUAAAAAUAUCAGUUCAAUAUGAAACCGGAAUUUGCCUAUAAAUGGCCCUAGCUGAUAAUGUAGUUAUCGCUAAACUGCGUCAUUGAUGCCAAAAGUCUUUGUUGACAUCUCACAAACAUUUUCGACUCGGAACAAUACAAGUUUCAGAC